UACGGGGGGGGUAAGCGUUGUUCGGAAUUACUGGGCGUAAAGGGCUCGUAGGCGGCCAACUAAGUCAGACGUGAAAUCCCUCAGCUUAACUGGGGAACUGCGUCUGAUACUGGAUGGCUUGGAUUUGGGAGAGGGAUGCGGAAUUCCAGGUGUAGCGGUGAAAUGCGUAGAUAUCUGGAGGAACACCGGUGGCGAAGGCGGCAUCCUGGACCAAUAUUGACGCUGAGGAGCGAAAGCCAGGGGAGCAAAGCGG
rnacentral:rRNA from 1 species